UACGUAGGGGGCAAGCGUUAUCCGGAUUUACUGGGUGUAAAGGGAGCGUAGACGGAAUAGCAAGUCUGAUGUGAAAACCCGGGGCUCAACUCCGGGAGUGCAUUGGAAACUGUUGAUCUAGAGUGUCGGAGAGGCAAGCGGAAUUCCUAGUGUAGCGGUGAAAUGCGUAGAUAUUAGGAGGAACACCAGAGGCGAAGGCGACUCACUGGACUGUAACUGACGCUGAGGCUCGAAAGCGUGGGGAGCAAAUAGG
rnacentral:rRNA from 1 species